rnacentral:rRNA from 1 species
GAUGAACGCUGGCGGCGUGCCUAAUACAUGCAAGUCGAGCGAACAGACGAGGAGCUUGCUCCUCUGACGUUAGCGGCGGACGGGUGAGUAACACGUGGAUAACCUACCUAUAAGACUGGGAUAACUUCGGGAAACCGGAGCUAAUACCGGAUAAUAUAUUGAACCGCAUGGUUCAAUAGUGAAAGACGGUUUUGCUGUCACUUAUAGAUGGAUCCGCGCCGCAUUAGCUAGUUGGUAAGGUAACGGCUUACCAAGGCAACGAUGCGUAGCCGACCUGAGAGGGUGAUCGGCCACACUGGAACUGGGACACGGUCCAGACUCCUACGGGAGGCAGCAGUAGGGAAUCUGCCGCAAUGGGCGAAAGCCUGACGGAGCAACGCCGCGUGAGUGAUGAAGGUCUUCGGAUCGUAAAACUCUGUUAUUAGGGAAGAACAAAUGUGUAAGUAACGAUGCACGUCUUGACGGUACCUAAGCAGAAAGCCACGGCUAACUACGU